rnacentral:rRNA from 1 species
UACGUGGGGUGCGAGCGUUGUCCGGAAUUAUUGGGCGUAAAGAGCUUGUAGGCGGUCUGUCGCGUCUGCUGUGAAAAUCCGGGGCUCAACCCCGGACUUGCAGUGGGUACGGGCAGACUAGAGUGUGGUAGGGGAGACUGGAAUUCCUGGUGUAGCGGUGAAAUGCGCAGAUAUCAGGAGGAACACCGGAUGGCGAAGGCAGGUCUCUGGGCAUUAACUGACGCUGAGGAGCGAAAGCGUGGGGAGCGAACAGG